GUAGUUAUAUUUUUUAUAACGCACACACAUAAUUUGUGUUGUGUCCCGUGCUACUACAGUGUUUGUGAACGCUCCAAAUUAAUCGGACUCUUUAACAGUGCCGUCAGUGGACGGAAAAUCUUUAUUUGUUUUUUUUUUUUUGUUACUGGCUGAAAAAAUUCCGAAAAAUUAACCGUCUCGAUAAGUCGUUCGCGUCUUGUUUGUUGAAGGCCGCGGUCGUCGUAUAUUUGUUUUUUCCUCGCGAGUUUGUGAAAUAUCGCGUGUCUCG